CAGUAGCCGCGGUAACACGUAGGUGGCAAGCGUUGUCCGGAAUUAUUGGGCGUAAAGGGCUCGCAGGCGGUUUCUUAAGUCUGAUGUGAAAGCCCCCGGCUCAACCGGGGAGGGUCAUUGGAAACUGGGAAACUUGAGUGCAGAAGAGGAGAGUGGAAUUCCACGUGUAGCGGUGAAAUGCGUAGAGAUGUGGAGGAACACCAGUGGCGAAGGCGACUCUCUGGUCUGUAACUGACGCUGAGGAGCGAAAGCGUGGGGAGCGAACAGGAUUAGAUACCCCAGUAGUCACUGUCUCUUAUAC
rnacentral:rRNA from 1 species